rnacentral:lncRNA from 1 species
AGGAGGUAGCUACAGUGGGUUGCUCGUUGUGGUGGGAGUUAAAAAAUCGGAAAGAUAGGUGUGUUAUGCAUUUAAAACCGUUUGGAAGUUUGUCUGGUAUUCUUGAUGAUGAAUUAGAGUAAUAAUUUUUUACUUCAAUUUGAAUCUAGGAUAAAGCAGGAGUGGGAUCUUGCACUUGUGAACGUGCUGACAGCGGCAGCAUGCAAUGCACUAGUUGUUUGGUCCCUUGCUCCUUGUCGAUCAUAUGGGAACACAUUUCGGUUUGAUUUACAAAAUACAUUGCAGAAGCUUCCAAACAACAUAUUUGAGAAGAGCUAUCCACUUAGGGAAUUUGAUUUGCAAAAGAGGAUCCAAUGCUUUUUGUUCAAGGCUGCUGAGUUGUGCAUGGUUGGUUUGAGUGCUGGUGCAGUACAAGGUGCAUUGUCAAACACUUUGGCGAGUAAAAAGGAGGGAAGGUAUGCAGGGUUGAAACUCAACCUUAUUUUUUAUAGUAUUCAAUUCAUUUAAUUUUUUUAAUUAAUCCUUGAGUUUUACCCACGAUUGAUCAAAUCACGAGUGCUAAAUACUAAUUUUAAUCCUUGCAUGUGUUGCGCCUGCAGAUUAUCUGUUACAGUCCCGAGUGUUAGCACUAAUGCGCUUGGUUACGGUGCUUUUCUCGGAAUUUAUGCUAACCUUAGAUAUCAACUGUUAUGUGGGUUUGAUAGAGCAAUGAUGACCCAUUUUGAUGUUAUUGGAGUUGCCCUGUUCUUCAGCACAACAUUCAGGUGUGGUUUUUUAUCUAUUGAAUAAGUUGUUCACCUUGAAUCCAUUUUACCUUUUUGCUUUAACGUAAGUCACACGGUAGAGGAAGAAAUUAUUUUUAAGAUCUGUUUUUUGAAAACUUAUUCCGAAUUUUAUGCAGGUUCUUGAACGUUCAAUUAGGAGAGACUUCUAAGCGUGUAUGGCUUGGAGUUGAGGCAGAUCCACUGGCCCAGUCGGACGACCUCUUGAAAGUGUACAACAGGACUUCUGAGAAUGUAGAAACGCCAUCCUCAAAAUGGUUUAUAUCAAAGAAUGCGGUGGUUUCUGGGCUUGGGCUCCUGGGCAUCAAACAAAGGAGUGCGGACGGGACAGGUGCAGAAUCCUCAGCUCCUAAAGCUCGGCGGAAAAGGAUUGUUCGGAAGAAGGUUGCGGCGGGUUCUGCGUGAUGUGACGCUGUCCAAUUUUGCUCUUUGCUACCUCUGGAGUAUCCUUGGGCGGUUCACUGGCUGCUCCAUACUAAGUUGGGGGUUAAUUAGUGGACCAACAUUUUUUUAUCACAUUAACUGAGAUUUCAGGAGGGUUUUGUUUCUAAAUUUUGUAGGAAUUCUUAUAUUCAUCGUUUGCGCUUUGAUAUCUGAUUCUGUACUAUAUAUUUCGAAUCUAUUCAAUAAAGUAGAGCAAGUAUUUUCUUUUUCACCUCUAGUCAGUGAUCCUAUCUCAAUGAACGCAUGAUUCGAGUUUUAUAGAAUCUUGCCAAUCUUUGAUUUCAUGAAAAAAAAAUGUAAUAAAAUGAUAUGAAAUAGUAGUAAAAAAUGGAAUUAUAUGAAAGAAGAGAAAAGCAGAAGUGGGGAAGGAAGUGCGUGAAGCGAUGAAUUAAAGGAGUUAUAUGAAAGGGAAGGGAAAGGGUAAAAAAGAGUUGAGUAAUAUCGAGAAUGGGUUUGAUGUCAGUGGUGGAGUGGUUGGUGGUGUACCAGCCAAGAAUCCUGAACUUCACAUGGAACCCUCCUCACACACCCUUCUCCUCCCCUCUCUUCCUAUCUCUCUCAAUCAUAACAUACCUCUCACUCACUCUCCUUCUCACCUACCUCAUCCCUCUCCCACCCAUCCCUCCCCGCCUCCUGAAGCCCAUAACCGCCCUCCACAACCUCACCCUCUUCCUCCUCUCCCUCUUCAUGGUCCUGGGCUGCGCCCUCACCCUCCUCACCCACACCCCACACCUCCGCUGGGCCAUCUGCUUCCCACCCGCCACACCCCCCUCCGGGCCCCUCUUCUUCUGGGCCUACGUCUUCUACCUCUCUAAGUUCCUCGAAUUCCUUGACACCCUCUUCAUCAUCCUCUCCCGCUCAACCCGACGCCUCUCCUUCCUCCAUGUUUACCACCACUCCACCGUCGUUCUCAUGUCCUACCUCUGGCUCCAAACCUCCCAGUCCCUCUUCCCCAUCGCCCUCCUCACCAACGCCUCCGUCCACGUCGUCAUGUACGCCUACUACUUCCUCACCGCCCUCUCCUUCCGCCCCUCCUGGAAGCGCGCCGUCACCGACUUCCAGAUCCUCCAGUUCCUCUUCAGCUUCGCAAUUUCUGCCCUAAUGCUCCACUACCACUUCUCCACCUCCGGAUGCUCCGGAAUUUGGGGCUGGUGCUUCAAUGCCCUCUUCAACGCCUCUCUUUUGGCCCUUUUUCUUGAUUUUCAUCUCAAGAGUUAUGCUAACAGGAGGAACACCGCCCACAAACGCAUUCUUCACAAGGACUCCUAAUCUUCAGUAAGACGCAAUAUAAUUAUUUACUUGUUGCAUUUCAAUGACACUGCUAUUUCCUUACAAUUCAAACCAUGAAGCUUUUUUAUUGUCUAGACUGAACAUGUAUUAGUCUUACAAUUACAGUUGUAUGUUUCAUUCUCCUCCCUGCUUCCAACACCCAAAUGGACGUUUUCCUGGUACGUCUUGAUAAAAAUUACGACUUCAAGAGGCUAGCUCUGGAAUGGAAAAAAAUUUCUGUUUUAAAACUUGCGUCUUUAUUCAGUGUUUCUGUUCUUGAGAAAUUGUGCUUUGAAAAUUUGAGUUUUUGAUGCAUACUAUCACUUGAAUUAUGUUAUUAGAUUAUUUGAAUUUUAAAAUUUGAAAGUUGCAAUGAAUUUGGUUUUGGAUAAAAUUUUAGUCUUUUAAAUUACAAUAAAUUCAAUGUUAAUCCGUUAACUUUACUGUAUAAAUAAUAUUGACGGUUAAAAAAAAAACAUUUUAGUGUCUGAAGUUUAAAAUGGCCUUUUCUUCAAAUUUGAAACCUAAAAUAUUUACUUAAAAAAAUUAAAAGACUGAAAUCAGAUACAUCCUUAAACUUCAUACAUUAAAAAUGGAAUUAAUGCCUAUUGUUUUCAACGUAUUAGUGUUCACCGAUUCAGGCUAAUGUAUUAUGUUGAUGUUGGUUAUUUUAUCAUGUUUAUAUGAUGUUUUUGGAUAAAUGUAUUAUUUUGCUAUUUUAUUUUAUGAUUCAGGCUUAAACAGCCGUUCUCUUUAAUCUUCCGUUAGCUUUAAAAAUUAGAAGAAAAAAAUAUGCAACCUUUGACUGUAGACCAAGUUUUUUAUAGAUUCACAUAAAGAAUUUUCUUAAUCUCAAAUUUAAGUAAAACUAAUUAUGUAUUAUUUGUUGAUAUAUUAUAUUAUAUCAAAAUAUUCAAUCUUAUUAAAAAAAAUCUAAUGUAGGAGGUUGGACAGAUUAUGUUAAGAAUGUACGGAGAAUAAUGGACUCAAAUUUUCACAAUAGAAGACGUGUCUGCCUGAAUAGUUUAUUCUACAUUGUCAACUUUGAUUAUGUCAUAGUCUAUUUUUUAGUCUUAAUUUAACAUUUCUCAUCACUAUAUUUUAACAAAUUUAGUGAAAUAAAUUAAUUUAAAAAGAUAACAGAAAAAUUAGGUUAAAUAAGAGUAAAAUUAUAAUUAUGUCCCAAUUAAAUAAACUUCACAACUAAAACAAUUAAUUUUAAUCUUAAUAAACUUGUUUACAUGAUAUUUGAAGAGAAAAUGAAUUUGGGAUGGAAUUAUAUCACUAUAAGCUUUUUGGUUAAUUUUAUUAAACUAGGAUAAAUUGGCAAAUCUUGUAUAAUAGUUUAGAAAAAAAGAAAAUAAUUAACAUACCAUCUAUACCUCUCUCUCUGUAUAUAUUUAAUUUUAUUGUUUUCGUGUACAUAUUUUCUUUCCCAUUCUAUCCUUUAAAUAAUUGUUAUUUUAAAUUAAAAUAAUUGUGUUUUCAUUUUUAUCCUUUAAAUGUCAGUUAAUUUAAAUUUAAUAUUUCUUAAAUUAAAGUAAUUAUUUUUUCAUUUUAGUCUUUUAGUUAUUAUUUAUUUAAAUUCAAAUAUUUUGUAACUAAAUUAAUUGUCUGUAAUAAAAAGAAGAAACACGUGUUUUCAUCGUAAAAGUUAAUAAUGUUACAUAUAUUUUUAAGAAGACAAGUUUUAAAUUUGUAUUUUGUAUGUGUUUUUAUGUUAAUAAAUAUAUAUUAUAUUAAAAUAUAUUUAAAUAGAUAUUAUAUUAAAAUAUAUUUAGAUGUUAAGAAAUAUUAAAUUAUAUUUAGAAGUUGAGGGAAAAUAAUAAUAUUUUUAAGUUUAUAAUUAAAUUUUAAAUAGAAUCAACAUUAUAAAUUAUUUAUAAGUUAAAAAAGUUAAUAUAUAUGAAAAAUUGUACAGAAUAAAUUUUGUAAAAUUACAAAAGAUUUAACAUGUGAAAAUAUAUAGAGUAAAUUAUAAAAAUACAAAGGAUGGAUUAUGUAAAAAUAUGUUGAGUAUAUUGAUUAUAAAUACAAAUUAAUGUAUGGACAUAUUAGUCUAAUGUGUAUUAUUAGACUUGUAUAAUUAGUGCAUUGGUAUAUUUGUCUAAUAUAUAAUUUUAGACUCAUGUAAUAAGUAUAUGAACACAUUCAUUUGAUGUGUAUUGUUAUACUCAUUUAAUGUGUAUAUACAAACUCGUCUAAUAUGUAUUGCAAGAUGCGUCUAAUCAAAUAAUUAAUAUAGUUAUCUAAUGUGUUUUAAUUAGUCUAUAGGCAAAUGUGUGUUGCAAAACUUGUUUAUUUAAUAUAUGGAUGUACUCCCUUAAUACAUAUUCUUAUAGACUUAUCUAACCAAUGUAAGAAAUUAUUUGUUUUAUGUUUUAUGGACAAAAUUAUUAUCUAAUUCAUGGGUAGUCUUUUAAUGUGUAUUGCUAAAUCGGUCUAAUUAGUGUUUCGACAUAAUCAUUUAAUGUAUAUUGCAAGAUUUAUCUAAUUAGUUGUUUAAUCAUUCUUUAAAUAGAUUCCUCUAAUGAGUAUUUUCAAACUCAUGUAAUCAAUGUAUAAAAUGUGUCGUUCAAUGUAUUUUUGUUAUACAUGUCAACUGAUUGUAUGUACAAACUGAUUUAAUGUGUAUUGUUAAACUUGUUCAAUCAGUACAUUAACAGACCCAUUUAAUUUUUUUUGUUAUAUUUGUUUAAUCAAUAAAUGUAAUGACUCGUCUAAUAUUUUUUGUUAUACUUAUUUAAUUAAUAUAUAGAUAAACUCGUCUAAUGUAAAUUUUUAAACUUGUCUAAUGUUUUUUGUUAUACUAAUCUAAUCAUUAUAUGGACAUAUUGGCCUAUUCUGCAUUGUAAGAUUAAUUUAAUAAUUUUUGUUAUAUUUGUUACAUAAUGAACUAAAUGAUUUGCUUAAUGUAUAUGGUUAGACUUGUCUAAUUCUUUUAUAUUCAUUUAAUUAGUGUGUGAACAAAAUCAAUUAAUGUAUUUAUAAACUCAUGUAAUCAAUUUAUGUUUAAUAUAUAAUUUUAUUUUCAUUUAAUAAUAAUAUAAAUACAUUAGUAAUAUAUUUUAACAUAAUUAGUUUAUUACAUUUUAUCCUCUCUUUUUCAGUCUUACUAAAAUUAUAAGUUAUUACAUGAAAACAAUAAAAAAUGAAUUAAAAAAUGUAAAGUAAAAAAUAAAAUAUUAAAAAAUAUGAUUUUAUUACUAUAAAUAUAUUAUUCAAACAUUUGAAAUGAACUAUUAAAUAAAACAAAAAUCAGUGUAACUCUUUCAUUACAAAUAUAUAUUUUAAACUUUUGAAAUGAAUUAUGGAAUACAAUAUUUUAAUUUUUUUUUUCAAAUAUAAUUAUUUUAAACUUUAUAUGGAGUUUUUAGUACAUAUUAUUAAUGUUAAUUUUUAUUAGAUAAAAUUAAUUUAAUUUUAAAUACUAAAAAGAGAAAGAAUAUUAUAGAAACGAUAAGUAUGAUUUUUUAUUGAUAAACUUUUUAAGACAAAAUUAUUUCCUCACAAUUGCUUUUUAUUUUACUAUCAAUAAACAUAUAUUAUUUUCUAAAUAAUAUUUUUUUAUGAAAUAAAAUUAAAAUAUUUUUUAAAUUUAAUUUUAUUAAAUGACUAACUAAUUAAAAUAAAAAAAUAGUAUAUAAUAAAAUUAAUACUUUAAAUAUAAGUUAUUCUUCAAGAUAAUAAAUGUGUUGAAAGUAUGUUAGAUUUUUUAUUUUUUUUAAAUGGUUAAAAUGUGUUUAAGGAUACACAUUAAAAGAAUUAUUUAUUUAUUUAUUUAAAAAAUGGAUUUCCUUUAAAAAUACUAAAUAUAAAUCAUGGGUAAAAACAUAAAUUAUCUAUGUGGCAGAAAAGGAAAAAAAUUAAAAAUAUUAAAUAACAAAAAAACUUAGACACUUAUCAACAAAAUAAAAAGAUGACUUUUAUAGUACCAUCUUUUAUAGAAAAUAGAUAUUAUCCUCUUUUAUUAUCUAUUAUAAUAUAUAACAGAUAUUAAUUUAAUUUAUACCAAAUAGAUAAUAGAUAAUUGAUUAAUAGAAUAAUUUCAAUUUUAUAUAUAAUUGACAUUUUGAAUGUUGAUAUAAAAAUUUUAAAGGUAAGAAAGUAAUAGUUGUAGAGCUAAAAUAAUAAUUUAUUACAUAUUAAAUGUUAAAGUUGAAAUAUAUUGAUAUUUUUAAAGUAAAUCAAUUUAAAAAAAAAAUCAAAUAGAUAAAAAAGGUAGAAUAACGUUUUAGAGAGACAUUUUUUUAUAUGACAAUGUAAAUUAUGAAAAAAAAUAGUACGAAAUUUUUAUAAUAUAAACUUGUUGACCAAUUAAUUAGCAACAAAAUAAGUAUAAAUGUAAAAUUAAAAAAUAAAAUAAUUCUCAUCUAUAUGUGUGAUAACAAAAUAAAUAUAAAUAAAGAAGAAAUUAAAAAUAUAAAAUGAUUGAAAAUAAAAUGAAUAAUACCACUGUUAUACUUGUAGUAGAAUUAAAUAUUUAAACCAUUUGAUCCAAGGUUAAUCACCACCACAUGGCAUCUUAAUUUUGAAAGUUGUCUUUGAAGAAUAGUUUUAAAAAUUAGAUGGUUGGUUUGAUUGGAAGAUGGUGGUUGACUCUUUUAUUAUAAUUAAUAUAUCAUUAUUUCAAUGGGACUCAAAUCAAUAUCAAAAUAUCUAUUUUCAGAUAAAUCGAUUACUUGUAUGCAUAUAAUUAAUAUAAGUAACAAAACAAUAACUCAGGAAAAAACAAACUUUAUGCAACACCUUCUAAACAUAAAUAAAACAAAUAAAAACUCAUAAAUAAAAAUUUAUAUAGUAUUAUACCAAUUUAAAAUUUCAUCACCACAAUUGAUGAAAAUAGGAAAGAAUAGUUCAAUAAAUCUAAAAUUAAUGAAAAGUAACUAACUCUAAUAAAUAAGACAAUACUUUUCAUAAUUUUUUAAAAUUAUUUUCUUCUCUCCCAUCCCACAACCUACUUACAUUUCAUCAUCUUCUAAUUUCUUAAUUAAAUACACAUUCCAUUUAGUUUUUUUUUUUAAAUUGAAAUUCAUGAGAAGUAUAGAUGCAACUUAAUAAAAAAAAAAAACAUAGAAGUGGGUAAAAUUUUCAUAAUUAAAUCAUGCAUUUUUUUUUUCUAAAAAUUAUUUGGUUUUUAAGUUGAGUUUAUUAGAUGAUUCUUUUAUUCGAUUAUUAGUAUAAGUUAUUAUCGAGGUACGGAAAAAGUUAUUUACGAUCCAAUAUACAAAAUAGAUUUAAUCGUGAUUUUAGUAUACUAAAAUAAAUUAAUUUUAAAUUUGUCGUUAAUUAUAAUUUUUACUGUAAAAUAAGUUAUUUCAAAGAUUUCGAAAAAAAUUUCGUGUUAACAUCAUAUAUAAAUACUAGCAGAUUCCACUUAAAACAUGUAUACUUUUGAUUGGUACUUCAUAAGAAAGCAUUUACAAUAAAGAGGAAACUUGUUUUCAUUCAUAUGCUAAUGUUUUGUUUUGGAAUAGUUGUACAUGAAUCCUACAAGUGUAUGUUUAAUUAACUUUGCAAAACAAAAAAAAAAAAAAAAGCAUUUGAAGAAACAUUAAAUGUGGUAUACAGUUUGGUUUAAAAAUGAAUGCUAAAAAUAAUAAAACCUAACCUAAAUUUUGCUGUUUGAUCGUGAUUUUAGGAACAUAUAUUCCUAUUCCUAUUAAAUUUGUCUAUUUAUACCAAAGAGUUGGGAGAAUUAGGGUUGGCAAUUGGGUCAGAAAUUAAUGUUAGAGUAUUUGAUAGAUAACCCACACAUUAAUAAUCAUAGUAAUGUUUAUGGUUACUAUAAUUGCCUCUAGAGUAAUUUUAAACUAAUAAUAAAAUGAUAAAUAAAUAAUAUUAAAAUAUUAUAAAAAAGAAUGUUUUUACAGUAACAUUAUUUUUUACUAAAUUUUGUUGGGUGCGAGGGAGGACAAAACACACUAAAAAAUCUUGUGGUAAUAUGUGAGAGCAGUCAACAAUCCUUGUAAGUUGUCAUGGUGUGAAAAAAUAAAAUAAAAAAAACUAUAUUGGGAUUACGUAAAAAAAAAAUGAUAUUCAUAGCAAAACCCAGCAGUACUAAUAUUCACUAAAUAGAGUGUGUCCCUUUCAAAAACAUAAAGGGAGGCACCUACCUUCUGCAGUGCCCCCAUUUUCAUCCAUUCACUAAAUAAUCAAUGUUGUUAGUUGGUAGAUGCAGAUCAACAUUUCAAAUUUAAAUAUUCACUGCCUUAUUUAUUGGUAUUCAAUGAAUAUUACAAUGCAUUUGUUGUGAGAGUUUAUGCUGUAACUAAACAAAUCCUAAAAACCAUAACACAUGGCAUUGCUAUGAAGCUUCACUGUCACACUGCCUGCAGUUAGAGCAGUUAUUAGAGAAGGUCUCAUCAUGUCUCAAAAACACUUGGACAUCAUUCCAACUGUUAAAAUAAAAUAUAUCACCUUUUCUUCUUCUUUUAAAUUUGAAUUUUAAAUUAUUAUUAUUUUUGAAUGGUCAAGAUCUCAUGCAGAAUGAGUCACUGUAGAGACCAUGCAUUUGCUUCUGCUCAGAUUGCCACAUUUAUUGAGCAACUCUAACACCUUAUAGCAAAUGGAUUUUCUCUCUCACUAAUAAUACACACACACACACUUACUUUACCAGCUGUAUAUCAUCACUGUUCAUUACUUAUAGUGUUUCAGCCUACCCUCUCACACUGUCAUACCAUAUAUACAUCAAACAACUUCAAGCUUGCAGUUUUCCUCCUCCAAACAUUCUGGAUUUCAAGAUCUCUCUCUUCUUCCUCAGCAGCACAGUACUAGGUUGUUUUUGUGUUGUGUUGUUUUUGUGCUGUUGUGGUAGUUGAGUUUGAGAAAAUGUUAUCAUCAGGGUUGGAUUUGGAGUACUGGCUAGUGAACCAUCCUACCAUAAGAAACUUCUCAUGGACACCAGGUAAAACCCUAGGUUCCUCACCACACUUUCUCUUCUUCACCAUUCUCUCUUACCUUUUCUCCACCUUCAUUCUACCCCACAGGAUCAUAUCUUCCUCCAUAUCACCACAGUUCAUCAAAACCAUCUCAGCCCUCCACAACAUCUUCCUCCUUCUCCUCUCUUUCACCAUGGCUCUUGGCUGCCUCCUCUCCACCCUCUACCAUGCACCUCACCUCCACUGGAUCGUCUGCUUCCCUCCCCACACCAAGCCCACCGGCCCUCUCUUCUUCUGGGCCUACAUCUUCUACCUCUCCAAGAUCCUCGAGUUCGCCGACACCCUCCUCAUCAUCCUCAGCAAAUCCAUCCAACGCCUCACCUUCCUCCACGUCUACCACCACUCCACCGUCGUCAUCAUGUGCUACAUCUGGCUCCAAACCUCCCAGACCCUCUUCCCCGCCGUCCUCUUCACCAACGCCUCCGUGCAUGUCCUGAUGUACGCCUACUACUUAUCCUGCGCACUCGGGGUGCGCCCCAGAUGGAAGAAGAUCGUCACCAACGUUCAGAUCUUGCAGUUCUACUCCAGCUUCCUCGUUCUCGCCGUCAUGCUCUACUACCACUUCACCGGUUCUGGCUGCUCCGGCGUCUGGGGUUGGACCUUCAACGUCGUCUUCUACGCCUCUCUUCUCGUUCUCUUCGUAGACUUUCACAAGAAGAGUUACGGUGCAUCCUCCAAGAAGAAUAAGCUCGCCGUUAAGCCUUCCAAGACCUUCUUUUAUUCCAAUCACACUCACAAGUGAUUUGCACUAUUUAUGGUACGACAUCAUCAUUAUUCUUCCAAUUCAUUCUUUUUGUGAAAGCGAAAUUCCAUAGCAUGUCACGUAACCUGGUCGUGAGAACUACCAACAUGUCUCAGUUUCUCACUAUCAUCUACCUGUUUUUCAUUCCUCUACUUUUUUUUCCUUGAUUCUGACUCUGGGAACUUUUGUUAUCAAGCUAGAAUGGCAAAAGGCCGAAUAUUGAAAUUGGGGUAUGUGGGUGUUAAGGAUUUGGUUGAGUUCGUGGAAUAUUUUUUUUUCAAAUCGUUUUGUUAAUGUGGAUUUGUUUACUAUUACACGCACGACAUUUACCUUAAAAUCUGGGACAAAACCUAUGUACUCUAGAUAUAUAUAUAUAUAUAUAAUAGUUGGUGUUGUUGUUCCAUUAAAUGCGGAGCUUAUCUAAAAAUAGUCGUGUUUCAAGAUGAAACUAAUCAUUCCAUGAUUAUAUAUAUAUAGAUCGGAAAAAUAAACGUGUUAUAUAUGCAUGCAUGGCCUAAUUAAUUAAGUUAAUACGCGUGUUAUUGGUCAAAUAGUGAUGACACGUGAAUGUUCUGAAAGUACUUUUGAAUUGUGGUCCAAGAACAGCUGCACAACUCAUCACCAAAAUAAAAUUUAACAGCUGCAUUUAUAAUAUACCAACUACCUAACAACAACAGAAUAAAGACUACUAUUCUGCGCUAGAUCUUCUACGUAGUACUACAAUUGUUGUUUAUUGGAAUUGCCUUUUUCCUAUUAUAUAAAGAUAAUUUGAUGGUAAUCGCACUUUUCUAUUUUGUUAUAUUUUAUUAAUUUUUUUUUUGGGUGGAAGCUAUAUUUUUUUAAUUAUACUUCUGCAGCUUAUUUAAAUGAUACCGGUACAUCAAAUACUGUUUACAUGUCGAUAUUCAAUUAAUUUGAUUUUCUAUCUAUAUGUUCCAUCUUAAUUAUAAUUAAGUUCGCCUUAGCCAACCAUACACAGUAAUAAUAAUCAUUAAUGUUAUCCAAGACAAACAAUAAUUUUAUACAAAAUUUGUAAAAAAACUUAAAAUAAUAGAAUAAUUACACCCUUUUCCAAGGGCUUUCUUUAUUGUAACAGUGAUUACUCAUGUUUAAACUUUUUUAUAUAUUAGUUAAAAUAUAAUAAAAUAGUAAUCGAUAAGAAUACACAGCACGCAUUUUUUUUUUAUCAAAAUUUAAAAGUUAUAUGUUUUUCUAAUUGUAUUUCAAUUAUAUUUCAUUUUUAAUAUAUAUAACGCAAAAAAAAAAAUUGCAAUCAUAAUACAACAUUUUUAAUUAUGUUAAUUUUGUUCAAUUUUAUCAUAAGACAUAAGCUCAAUCCAUAUACAAAAUUAAUAUCACAUUUAACUUAAAAACUUUUAAGGCAAUAGGUUUGUGGUAUAGAGGAAUACUCAACUAUGAUGAAUCUCUCAAGAAAAAAUUAUCAAAGAAACAUAACAUUAAUAAAACAUGAAUCUAGCCUACAAAAAACAUGAAUAAAUUUAUGCAUUUAUUCAAUGUCUCUACUUAAAAAAUGAGAUUUAGACUCGUAUCUACUUUCCUAAAACAUCAAUAUGGAUAUAAAGUAGUGGUGGUCUACUUAAAAAGGAGAUUUAGACUCGUAUCUACCUUCCUAAGAACAUCAAUAUGGAUAUAUAAAGUGGUGUUGGUGGAAGCAUGAAUGACUGGAAAAGACAUAUAAGUGUUGUUUAAGGAUGUUAUAUGCUGUGGAAAAUCAAAACAUCCAUAAUUUGCUGAGACAUAACGGAUCAUAUCUCAAAUUGUGUAGUGCUUGGUUUCUAUGUAUUUGGGAGAAAUUUGUUUACAUGUUGGAAUUUUAUUUUAUUUUAUAUAUAUGAAAUCCUUUAAUUGUAUUUUAUUUUAUUUUUUAUUUUAACUAAUAUGUUCAAGUAGUAGAAAUGUUUCACACGAUCACAUAAAAUUUUAACUUAACCUCAAAUAAAAAAAAAUUAAAUUUCAUCAGUAGAAUAAAAAGUUCAAAUCUUCACUCUUCGAACCUAAUGUCAGAUUUCAUAAACGAAAUGCAAUUCAUUUUUGUGACAUUAUUAAUAAAAUUUAACAGUCAAUAUAUCCUAAAUUACCUAUUUAAGGAAAUCAUUAAAAAAUUACUAAAUGUAAGAAUGACUUGCACGGCAAAAAAAAUAACACUAAAUUCCUACAAAUCACCAUUUAAAUUGGAUUCUAGAUAUGGAUUUGGACAGUUCUGAUUUCCAUUUCAAAACUGUAUUUUAAGUAGAAUCACUGAAAUGAUAUAUAUGCAUAUGCAUUGUUCAAUCCUUAUCACAGUUCAAGGUUUUACAGCUCAGUACAAGGAUGAAGUCUUAAAAACAAGACAACAUAAAAAGAAGUUGGAAAAGUGAAAAAGUGCAUAACAAAUUUAAUGAAUAGAAGGACGUAAUGAGUAUGACAAUGGUGAGCAAGGUAUCCUCUGAAAUUUUGGCCUUAAGCAAGGAAGGAAAGCUUUUAGAGCUGUCAGUACUAAUAGAUUCACUCUCUUCUUCACGUAUUCUUCAACUCCUUUCAUUGAGCUUACUCAUAAAUAGCUCACAAUCUCUCAUUUCAUGCACGUCGACAAUUGGAGACAAUGUAAUGUAAUAAACUGUAUCAGUGGAUAUAUGGCUAAUCAUCACAGUGCACUUCUUUUCAUCUUUGCUGUUAUUUCAUCUGGUAAUUUCUUCACUUUUAUAAUCUCUAUCUUUGGUCAACCUGUGUGAAGCAAAUAAAGCAUACUUGUUAACUAUUAAUCUUCCUAUUUAGGUUCAUAUAUAACUAAAAAAAUUUAAACUUUAAUUUGAUAAUUCCUUGUUUCAUUUAAUAUUGGUUUGAAAACGACUUCACAACAUUCGAAUGUCAAUAAAUCAGGAGAAAAACGCAGUAGCUACAAUAGGUGGUAGUGGUCCAAUCUGCAUAACAGAGUUUUGACCCGAAUAUAAAAACUUUGCCAUUAUUGGGUGUGCAACUCAGACUGUUGAUUUGUUUAUGCUUAGAGAAAAAUGUUUAUUUGUUAAAGCAACAAGGAGGCUUUCCAAGAAGGGUUAUUUUUUACAAUCUUAGAAAUUUGAUCUGUUGGGUGGCAGCACCUGAAACCUGUGGAAGCAGUAAGACUUUAACUAUAGUAAAUUACUGCAAGGAGACAAUAUGGCCUGCGAUGACAGGAAGUGAUAACUUCAGUGGAGAUGCAUUAAAUCCUGGCCAAUCAAAAGUGCACACAGCUGCUGUUGGAUGGAGUGGAAGAAUAUGGGCUAGAACAGGCUGCAACUUUGACAAGAAUGGCAAUGGCAAUUGUGAAACAGGUGCUUGUGGUACCAACAUUAACUGUACAGGUCCAGGAACCCCACCUGCCACAAUUGCUGACUUUACCCUUGGUGAACCUGAUUUCUAUGAUGUUAGCCUUGUAGAUGGCUUCAAUUUGCCUGUGACAGUAAAAGCUGUUAAUGGCACUGGGAACUGUAGCAUUGCUGGCUGUGAUGGAGAUUUGAGGAAGAAUUGUCCACCCCAGCUAGCUUCAAAGCAAGGUGACAAAGUUAUUGCUUGCCGCAGUGCCUGUGAUGUCUUUAACACUGACGAGUAUUGCUGCAGAGGCACUUAUGGAAACCCUGCUACAUGUUUGUCUUCAAACUAUUCAACCAUGUUUAAACAGGUUUGUCCUGCAGCAUAUAGUUUUGCCCAUGAUGACCCCAGCAUAAUAACAUGCUCGGGAGCAGACUUCGUUAUUACAUUCUGCGGCUUGAGGUAAGUUUAUUCUAGACAAAUCAUAUGUUCAUGCAUUCAUUAUAUACAAAUCAGAUUAAUUCUAUUCCCUCAUCUUCUUAACUACCAUAAUUCUUAUUAAUAUUCAUUUUUGAUACAGGAACCAAACAUUGUGUUCUUAUCAUGGCAAGACAGUUGCAUGCAAUGAAUCUAAUACUUAUAAAGUCAAACCUCGGACAUGGUUGGCCCUGAUCCUGCCAUUGGUAUUCAUGCAGACUUCAUGGAUCACGUGGUAGCAAUUGUGCAUGUACAUUGAAUGUUUUCUCAAUGUUACACUUGAAUAAUUUUUUUUAAUCGCUUGUUUUUUUGCUUUUUUGUCGUAUCAUUGACUUCUGUAUUUCUGACUGUUACCGAAAUUUACUCGGAUGCUUAAAAGCCUCUACAAAUCCAGGCAUAUAGUUUUAUCUGUUGUAAUUAAUCAUGCAUUUUCUUCAAUGGGAACCAACAUUGUUCAACACGAGUAAAAAAAUAAAACUGAAAACUAACCAACUCAAGCGUUCCGUAUAACAAAUCCAAAGGGAGAAAAAGCUAGUGCAAGACCUUUCUACUUUUCUUUACAAAAAAAAAAAUUGAAACAAAAUUUACUUAUUUACAUUAUCUGUUGAUAACACUGAAAAUGGAGGCACUAGCUACCUGGACUUUCCACUGCUCUGAUUUCCUUGUGAUUUUGAUUGGUCCUCAAUUUCUUUCAAGUAAAUUUCUGAUCUGGCUUCUUCAUUUUGGAAUGGUAAAAUUGAGACGGGGGCAGCAGGCACCGCAUGCCACCGUUCUCUCAAAAAUCUAAUGAACUUCUGAGCCAUUUCUCUCCGAAACUCAAGCUCCCUUGUGAACAUAUCCAAGAGAAGAAAGGAAAAGAUGUACUUGAACGGGACAAUGAGGAGUAUGGUUGCAGAAGAUAUCAAUACCAUUGCAAUCUCAGUAGUAAUCUGAAAAAGAAGGCCAUAUUUUACAUCCACAGGAGCAGAAAUCAAAAUAAUAAUAUCAAAUAGCAUACCAAAAACUAGUGUGAGCUUCAACCAAAUAAGAUGUGGGAAUGAAAAUCACAACUAGAUUUCUCAUUACUCUUAAUAAUAUACCUGUGGAUGGCCAGAAAGUAAAAUGGAACGUAUUUUGAGGAGAGAGACAUUCACUUGCUGCAUAAAAUCCUCAACAUCACGCAUGGCAUCUUUUACAGCAAUAAUCUUUUGUAUAGUAUUGGAUGGGGGCUGAUCACGUAUUGUGACUUCACCAAAAGAUCGUCCUAGGCGGCCUUGCUCUUUAAGGGCCCUGAUUGUGAGCAUGCCAACUGCCAAAAUCAUCAGCAUCAUGGGAAACACAUACGACACCAGAUUUCUGGAAAGGCAAAUUAAAACAUCAGCUCAAACAUGUAAGAAAAAGGUGCCCAGAACUAUUAACAAGAACAUCAAUUAGCUUGUGCUGCAAAUACACUAUCCAAAACAUCAACUUGGUUGGAGGGAUCCAUGAAGAUUUAUUUUGCUCUGUUCACCACCAACAACAAUAAAUUUUAUCCAAGUGAGGUUGGUUACAUUGAUCACAUGAUGUCAUUUGGCUUGGUUAAAAACCAAAUUCUUACAGCAAUGUUUUCCACCAUGAAAUUCAUUGUUCACCAAAUCUUGGAAAGUACAUUACAGUUUUAUGGUCCUCACAUUUUGUGCAGGUCUAAACUGUUACUACAGUUAGGUGCAUGAAGAAUGUAAGUCUUACAUAAAUAACAUUUAAGUAAAUAAUUAUCUUUCAUUAAUAAAAGUAAAACAGAAGCUAGAUAUCAAAUUAUCAUCAUGCUGACUGAUGACUGGGAAAACAGCAACCAUCAAUAGCAUAAUAAAAAUGAGGUGAAGAUCUACCUAUAAAGUAUAGUAUAGGUGAGUCCAAGAAAUGCAACAGUCAAGUGUGGCUCCUCCCAAUGCCUAAGCUUUUCAAAGUUUUUCACAAUCAAGGCGAAAGGAAACAUUAGCUCCUGCACAGGAACAAAAUCAAUAUCUAAGAGCUUAUGAUUUUUGGAUCCUAUUCAAAGAAGACAAGAUAAAUAAGCAAUCAUAUAUGAUGGCCUAAGGCACCAUUGCUAAUAAGACUUUGGACAUUGGACUCUUUUACAGUAAACUAAAAUAUCACUGGUUAUAAGAAUGAGUUAAUACAGAUAGCAUUAGCAAUACAAUAUAUUAAAUUCAAUUGAAUACUACUAGUAAAAGAAAAGAAGCAAUAUAUCUUUACCAACCACUACGGUAAUCAUGAAAUUUUAAAAUGAGGACAAAUUUAAAUCUCUCCUCAGGUGGAGGGGAGUGUUGCUAUACAGGGAUGAUCACAACCCCCACCCAUCCACCCAGCCACGUUAAAGGAUAAAAAUUCUGUUCUCAUGAUUCUGGAAAUUUCAUAAAUUAAAAGAAAUUUGAAAAAUAUUGUAAGAAAACUUUUCAAUACUGGCUUUUUAUUGCAAAAAUAGAGGGAUGAGGUGAAAUUAAAUACUUGUAUAACAAAUUACCGUCCCGUGCUUAUACAUAUUUCAGCUAUUCCAAAAUCCUAAUACUGACAGUCAUGGCCUCAUGGCACAAUUAUACCAAUAUCUAGAAGAAAUUGUGAGAAAUAUAAAGCAUGUAAACACUGCUUACUGCCUUUGAAUGAGAGUAUAGAUAACUGGUUUGAAUGUUGUAUAAUCAUAAUCAAGUAGUUACUAGUCACUUAAAUAUCAAAGGAGACAAGAGAGCAAGUUAAGCAUCCCAACCUUGAAAAGAUCAAUGUUGCUGGGUAUGCCUUGUAGAGUUGCAGCAUCAAUGGUGGCUUGAGUCUUCUCCACAACGUGGUACUUUAGUCUGCUUAUUUUUGCUGCUCUUUCUGUGAAUGAUAAAUCAGCCACAACAAGAUUCUUACUCAAUAUUAAACCUUUUACUGAAAUGUUCUUCCAAAAGUUACUGGAAGUACUUGAACCCCAAGAUGGAGAUUUCAUCCACUUCUGCAAGUAGAUACUUCCAUCUAUGUCAAAUACAUGGUUGCGGCUAUCAGCUAUUUCAUCAGAAGGUCGAGUUUCUGACUGAUUGCGGGUAUUUACAUAUCCUGUAAUUAGUGGACCUCCCCAGUAAUUAACAGCUAAAGUUUGGAGGACAAUGUCACCAUGUGGUGCAUUCUGUAAAUAUGAGAACUGAACUAGUUUGGUGGGAUUGUCAAGCAACUUCCGCAAAUAUUGAAGGGCUUGGAGUCUAGCAAUACCAUUAAUAGCAGAGGUUGUUGCCCUAUCACUUCCUUUGCGAGCUCCAUAUACAUUAAAAAGUGACUCAUCAUACUCAUCAGGUCCAUACUCACGUAUGAACCUGUGUAGAGCGAUGACUUCAUUUAUAAGUGCAUGCCAAACAUCCCUCCUCAUCUCACCUCCUAAAUCAAUGAAUUCCAGCACCCACCUAUUCAACCAAAGUAAGAAUAUAAAAGAAACAGAAAAUGCAUUAUUUUAAAACGAGCAGAAAAGCACUGGUGAAAGAGGAGGGCAAAACUGUGGUACUUGAGUUAUUUUAUUUAUGAGAAAAUGGAGAAAAACUGAAGGAGAGUACGAUAUUCUCCAUAACUUUUAUCAGCUGAGUAUUUAGAAUGUUUAGUUGGACUUCAUCUUUUUUACCCAGACAUAUUUUUCUGAUAAAGCUGAGUUCUAUUUACCCAGACUCAUUAGAACUAAUAAAAAAAAAUGCUGGAAGAAGCUUACUCACUUUGUUUCUGAGCCAGAGGAAACAGAAACAGCAGAGUCAAAAAGUGAAGAUCCUAACGGCCCAACCUUUGCCUUCUCUACUUGUAAACCAUUACUUGUAAGAUCCAAUCUCAUGGCUCUCUUCUCCCCCAGUAUGCUAACUGUCUGGAACAUAUAGGUUUGAAAAGAACAAUCAAACAAGAUGGUGAUUACUUUUUUUUAUUAUACAAACUCUAUAUAGCUCUGUAACACUUAACAGACUGUAAUAAAUAUCAAACCCACCUAAGAUCUGAAAAUGUAACGGGAUUGUUACAGAAUAUAACUAAGUAUACAACUGUUCAAUUAUCACAGAACAUAUACUACUAACUGUUUAACAUAUUAAAAUACUACUAUAAUAAUAACCAUAGUAUAGAAUCAUAAAAUACCUCAAAAUAGAUUGCUUUAUCUGUUAGAGUAAGUUUGCCAGGCCAGGCCAUAUUAUUCUCCCAUUUCAAAACAGGUCGCUUACUGUUGGAACUAGUGCAUAAAAUUCUCUCCUGAGACAGUUGAGGAAACUCUGGAAUCUGAUGCGAUAUCUGUUUUUGACGCACUCUACAGUAAUAUCAGUACAAGUUUAGCACAAAAAAGUUGUCAUACAGAGAAUGUUUAGAAGUUCUGAGGUCGUUCCAGCACUAUUAAGCAAAGAGCGUGUCACAGAACAAACCAUAAAAUGAAAAAUGCAACUAAAAUGUAUAUCAUCUCUUUUUAUAUUUCAAGGCUAGACUAAAGCAACUGUACCAUAUGUUAGGUCUAUUUACCAUCUGAAGCAUCAGAACUAACAGUGAACCUUUAAUGCAACAGAUUUAUUUCGUAAUAGCUUACAUAAACCUUCAUCGUAGCAAAUUAGAAAAUUCAAGAGAAAAUAAGAGAAAGGAGUCGUCUGAAGCAAAGACAUUAUAAACAGAAAGUUUAAAAAAGUGAAUAAAAGAUGAAACAAAUAAUCAUUCAUCGUUUUAUUUUUAAGAAAUUAUGACAAUUAAGAGGAUCUUUUCACAAAAAAUCUUAAUUCCUUCAUCAUGCAAAAAUGAAAUUUCAUUCCUUCAUGCAUUAAUUAUCUUGGAUAAAAUGAGAAUACCUAGUGCAUUAGAAGAAUUUGAGAUUUGAAAAUUGGAAAACCGUUACACAUUGUUUAUAUUUCACCAACUUGAAAGUCAAAAACACAUGUUGCUUGGAUGUCUUCUAAGAUCAUCACAUCAUUGACAAAAUGAUGACUAACAACUCACUUGAUAAACUCAUUAAUGUAAUUCAGCCAUGAGCUCACAGAAAUGCCCUCUUGAUUGCCAGCAAGAGCCUUGAAAAGAUUGUGCACUGUGGGAUGGUCAACCACACCAGAGAUUGCAGGAGCAAUACGAAUAAAAGCCUCCUCCGUGACAAGUUUAUUCUGCUAAGCCCACAAAAAAUUACAUAUAUGAAGUGAUCUCUCAAAAUCAUAAAGAAAAAUGACAUAAUGCAAUUGUAAUGAAGAAAAUAGCUAGAAAUCCUUGAACCAAAUAUCUCCCGGUUUCAAUGUUCUAUUAUGAUAUCAUUGAUUUAAUUCAUUAGAUUGAUGAAAUAACUUUUCCCUAGAUUAUCAUUCACAAGAUGGACACAUUUCUUGUGCAACAGGGUGGAUACUUUAUAUUUAAAAGUAAAAUACUUUCUAGUUGGUCAUCAACGUCACCCUUAGAAGUUCAAACAUCGUGGUACCAUGCAAAAGGUCAAUUAGUGGGAGAAUUCCCGACAAAAUGCUAUCACUCUUCUCAUAUCUCCCAUAUGCAAUCACCAGCAAAUGCAAUGCUGGUAGGGCACCUGAAUUACAUUAACUAAAGGAAAGAACUGAACCUGUAAAGAAGUCUUCUCUGCAUUGCUGGAAAGGUUGUCGGUAUAAGGAUUGUCCCAGGCAACCAUGGUUAUGAAUAUCAACCUCUGGAAGGCAGGGUCCUACAAACACAUCCAAAAGCAAUAAACAUUGCAUUUCCCUUUUGGAAAUAAAAGAAUAAAGUUUAUUUGGCAUUACAGCAUCUGAUAAUUAAAUGGUAGAAAGUAAAACAAAGAAAUCCAGUAAAUUAGGCUUCUUUUAUCAUUGCUGUUUUUCUACCAUUCAAAUUUGCCAAAAAACAAUUUGUUUUAUAGCAAUUUUUCAGAAAAUUAUUUCAUGGUAUGUGUGUGCUUCCGUUGGGUACCUAAAAGAAAAAUAAUAGAAAGAUUCUUAUGGAAUAGGAUGAAAAGAACAAGAAGAAGGUUCUGAGUUGAUGCUGGUGAGAUAGGUAGGAGAAAGUUCUGAGUUGAUGUCUUUACAUCCUAACAGCUUCCGUCUUUUGGAGGGAGGCUGCACUAUUCUUUACCACUAGAUAGGUAGGAGAAAGUUCGGAGUUGAUGCUGGUGAAAUUGACGACUAGUGACUCCAAACAAUACAAAUGAUGAAGAGCUCGUCAAACAAGGUAAGGGCUCAGGUAUGAACAACUAUUGGUGAGAUUGAGGAUUCACAUUGAGGUUUUAGGUGAAAAGCAGCUGAAGAUGUCACAAACAUACACAUGAGACUUGGUAUUCUUGAGGUAGACAACCAAUCAGCUUGGACCACCUUCAAUGGCUAGCUGGCAUUUGAUGAAAUGCUUGACCAUCUUGUUCGUGCUAAUAAGAAACAAGGAUUUAGUAGUCCUCGAACAGCUGGAAAAGACUAGAGCAGAGGGCAGUAAAAACAUGGGAAGGAGGAGUGGUGUUGAUCAGAUAGAUGAAAAGAAAAAUAUGCAGAUACAUGAAAUAUAAAGCAUUACUUUGUUUGUGUGAAAAUUGUGUUCAGUAAAUCAAUUUAAAACAUGUAUAAUGAACAAGGGAAAAAAAGCUUUCCCCAACUUUAACGAGAAAAAUAAAAUGAUAAAACAGAAAUUCAUAUGCAUGUCUCGUGAAACCAUGAGGAGCUUUGAUAAAACAAAAACAGAAAAUGAACUUCAGAACAUGGCUUCCAACAUGCCAUAAACAGAACAAUAUUCUAUACCUGGAGGGAAGGAUGAAUAGCAGAACCAUCCCUAGACAAAAAUCUAAAGCAGCAAUAUUCAACCAAAUUACGGGCAUCAUUAUAUACAGAUUCAGGCACUAGAGCUCCAAAUAUUUUCUGCAUUUUCUUCCCAGUCAAUCCAUUCAUCCUGCAUAUCUUAUUUUUAAAAGGUCAAAUAAUAAUUUUUAUAUCCGUUUGAUAGGCAUGAAGCAAGCAAGAAACACAAAAAAGACAAGACCCUUGUUAAUGGUGCUUCAUACGAUCCAAUUUUCCAUUCAAAUUAAAUUAAAAUACGCAAACACGUGCCAAUUGGUGAUAAUAGAACAUAAUCUCACAUGGCAACAGCCCUCCCUGUUAAGAUCAGAGGUGGGCGUGCUUGAUGUUGUGGGUCCAUUCCUCCACAAUCCCCUGGGAAUUCAGGCUUCAUUGAAGUUGAGAAAUAAACAUCCAGAAUUCCGAAUAAAGAUAAAAAUAAUUUGGUUUCUAAGAAAGACUUUAGUACAAACACGGUUUCCCUUCUCCCCAAACAGAAAAUCUCGUCCCUCCAAAACACUAGGAAUAACAGUCUAACAUCUUAAGUCCCUUUCAGAAGUCUGCAACACUACCUAUAGAUCACUAGAACUGUGAGAGCACAAACUAUAACUGCCAAAUCCAAAAUUAAUACGAAACUAACUGUGUGAUACAUAACUAUAAUAAAUCAGAGUUUGUGCAACAAGACAAUCUAUAUAACCCAGAAAAUUAAAGUAAUAUACAUCCUAAUAGGAAAGCUGUUAAGCUACACAUUUAGUAAAAAUGAUAAAUUGAAAAUUACAUUCUUGAAUACGUCAGUCAUAGCUAGCAAGAACCACACUUCUUAUUUUUGGAUUAAAUAAAACAAUUUAAGAAAGUGCUGAAAUUAUCAGAACCAAUACCUAAUCAUUUUAAGGCAAAAGAAAAGGAAGAGCAGAAAAUAUACAUUAUGAACUGUAUUCUCUUAUUACACUAUUUUUUUCUGUAAUUUUGAGAAUAAAUAAUUUUACCAUGAAUUCCAAUUGCAAAAGUAAAAACAUAUUUCAUAAAGCACUUCAAUUAUAUACUCUGAUCUUGAAUUUGCUAAUGUAAAACUUUUUUUAUUAAUGCACUUCAGUUAUAUACUUUAAUCUAGAAUUUGUUAAUGUAUAAUCCUUUUGAUGAAUGCAUUGACCCAAUGACCAAAUCAAAAAUUUUCACCCAAAAGUGAGUAAGUGUAUUCACCUGCUGAAUUGUUCAAUACAAAUUACAGCGGCUAGAGAAAGAACCCCACUUGGCGUUCUGCGGUCAAUUGUCUGCUCUAUCAUAAAUAUGUCUUCCAUGAAUUGAAAUCCAAAAUCAUCUACAGGACCAGGCUUCUUACUUUGACCAGGUUUUGCACGGGGAAAAGUCACUUCAUUCAAAAAAUUUUGGGUCCUUGACAUCAAUACAUUCAAUCUUUCUUGAAUAGAACCUUUGAAAAGGAAAUCGAAGUUUAAUAAUUCAAAUAAACAGCCAGAAUGAGAGGCACACAAAAAAAUACACUAUAAAUUUAGAGAUGGUAUAUCCUUUUAACCUCGUCCUAGUUUCACAAACUUAAAAAAAAGGAAAAACAUUUAAUAUUGAGAAUUGGAAAAUAAGCUGAUUUAUGAUGAGAACUUAGAUACUAAAAGCUAAAAUACCAAGUAAUCACAUGCAACAAGCAAACAGCUCGGGCACAAGGUUAUCAAGUGGAGAUUCAAAAUGUGAAUUGUCAAACUAGCUUUUGAAUCUUGAGUCAUAAUUUGAACUGAAUGACAAGAUUCAAAGACAGUGGAAAAAUAGCAUCAAAUAUAUCACAGAUUAUACAUACUGUUCAAUCAAAUAAUUUUAAACUAGAAAUAGACCUUAUAUAUAAGUAUGUAAACUUGGUAAAGGCUCUACUUUGAAAGAAUGGAAACCAAACAACGAAUAGCCAAUUAGAAUGCAUGAAUUGAAUGAGUAAAAUAACUUAUAAAGCAGUGGAAUAACCAAAUAAGAUUAGUUCAAAAGUGUUUUUUCUUCCUUUUUCAUUUUAAGAAUUUAAACUUAUAUAACUUUCCAAUUCGUUUCAUGAAAUUUGGUAAAAGAAAAAGGAAAGAAAGACAAUUGUUGAACUGUAUGAUUCACCAAUUACUUCGUGUACAGUAAGAUUGAAAGUCAUUUGAGAUUCAUCUUAUGAUACAAAUGGAUAUGCAGCAAAGUUGGAUGGAUAGGAAGUUUCAAUUUGUGAAUGAAGUAAGUAAAGAACUGAAUAGAUGUGUCGGGUGUGGCCAUGAAUGAGAGAAAAAUUAUUAAAAAAAUAGUAGUUUAAGAAUAAUUGCAUGUGAAUUGAGCAUGGUUGGAAACACAAAUAAGAACCACACAUGUAAUCCAAUCAAACCAAACUUAAACAAUAAAGUUAAAAGGUGUGAUGGCACUUUGAGAAUAAGAAGUCAGAAGAGAAAGUACCGGUACUUAUGUCAUUUAGCUUCCAUUUAUCCCCCAAAGACUGUGGCACAAACUUGAACGGAAACUUUUGCUCUGAGAAUACUCUUCUUGAAUACUUGUAUGUAAAAAAACCUCUGUGCGCAGAAAUCGUGUAUCUAGGUGAUGUCCCCAUUUGGGUCAUCGGAAACUUUGAGCCCAUCAUAUAUUUUCUUUGAUUCUGUACUCAAGAUUCAAUCUUUGAGAAGCAUCCAACAAAAUACAGAGAAUUAAUUGGUUAAAAUGGAAGAGGGUGAGACUUGAGAGAGAGAAAAUGAUAGAGAUCAUCCAUUCAUGCUUUUGCUGUUCUUCUGAUUGCUCUGCUCAUGUCUUGUUCAGGAAAAGAAAAAACAUAUAAUUGUUAAUUGUGUUAUUAAAAAAUUAAUAAUUAGUGUUUUAUACCGACUCAUCACAUGUACAUUUUCCGAUCAAAAUCACAUGUACACUGAGAGAUGAUCCUAUCCGUCCAAGACAUAACCGAACAGCCAAUAAGAUUAGAACGACUAAUAAAUAUCUUCUGUUAGGUAUUUGGAACAAUUUAUAUAUAUAUAUAUAUAUAUAUAUAUAUCUAUGUAUAUAUAUCAUAGCCUAGAAAAUAUACAUAUAGAUUAGAUUAAAUUUUGAUAUUUAUUUCUGGUCAAAUUUAAACAAAUAAUUAUUUAUGCAGUCAAUCAAUCUAAUUAACAUGUAUAAUUUGUACUAAAUUCAAAUCAAUUACUUGUUAAGAGAAAGUGAUACAAAUUAGUUAAAUCUACUUCUUCUAUGGUUAUUAUUAUUUUCAAUAAUUUACCAUUAAUAAUAUUAAAUAUAUUUUUUAAUAUAAUUUAGAGGAAUUAAUGUAAUCUUAAGUUUCCAUAUAACUUUUAUUGUAUUUUUUGUUAAGAAUUUUAAAAACUAUAUCGCAUAUAAUAAAAAUAAAAAAUAAAUAAAUUGACAUAGGUGCAUGAGAGUUUAAAUCCAAUAUAUCAACUAAUGUUUUUUUAUAUAGAAGAUGAAUUUACUGAAAAAUAACAUAUGAUAAAUUCAAAUUAACAUAAGUUGAAAGAGAUAGUAUUCAAAUAAAUAAUCAGUUAAUUUAUCAUUUUUUUGGUUAUUAAUAUAUUUUAUAUUUUUAUUGAAUAUUUAUAGUUUAGUAAUUAAGUUUUUUUUUUUCCUUCAAAAGCAAACAAUACAUAUUUCUAAAAUGUUUUUACAAUCCUAUUAAAUUAUUCACAAUCCUUUUUAUUUUGAAUAUUAAUAAUUAGUAUUUGUGAUCGAGUGAUAUGAGUUCCGUAUAAUCUUAUAUCAAAAGUUUUUUUAAUAUAGGAUUAAAAUGAAUUUGUUCUCUUAAAAUGAAUAAUUGUAUGAAAAACGUGUUUAUGAUUGAAAAUACUUUCGCUUAGAAGAUAUUAUAUAGACUUAGAAGAAACUUGUUUUAAAAGAGAAUAUUAGUGAAAUCUAAAUGUAAAUCUAAAUCAAACCAUAACAAGUAAAAAUAGAAAGAUAAUCGACGUAUAAAGUAAAAGUUCAUAAAUCAAUUAUCACUAUACUUGAAAAUAAAACUAAUAUUAAUCUAUUAUUUGAAUUGGAGAGAAAUUUGUCAUUUUCUCAAAAACCCAUAAAGAAUUGACGUAAAAACAUAUAUAAUAAAACAUUAAAUUAGAUUUGAAGUUAAAAUUAAUGAUAAUCUUUUAUUUAAAUUGAACUUAAAUAUCAUCAAUAUUGUCUCUUAGUUAAACUUCCUUAUAUGUCUAUAAAGAAUUGACAUAAAAGUUUUAUCUAAUGUUUGGAGUCAAAAUGUCAAUAUUGAAAUGAAAACUAAAUAAAAUCUCAUGAUAAAAUUACUUAGAAUAGCCUAUCAAUAUAUUAAAAUCACAAUAAAUUAAGAAAUUAGAUAUGAAAUAUGAAAUAUAACAUUUUUUUACAUAAAUUAAAAUGAAAUAUAAAAAGAAGUCUAAAAAUUCAAUAAAUUUUAAAAUAAAAAUUUCUACCAUAACAUCAAUUUGUAUGGAACCUAUAAAACGUAUUUAUAGUUUUAAGAAAAUAAAGUACAACAAAACAAAAAUUUAUACAAUUUUAUUAACAUUAACCAUAUUAUGCAUCAUAGUUUUUUAUUUAACAUAUCAUCUUAUAUAUAUUUAUAAUAAUUUUAAAGCAUAAAUCAAAAUUAUAUCACUAAAUUAAAUAAUAAUAAUUUAAAUAUUUCUCAAGACAUUAAUUAAAAUUUAAAAUUUUAUACAAUUUGUUAAUAAUAUAAAAAAUAGUUAGACAAAUAAAAUAUGUAGUAUCAUAAUUUCAUUAUUUUUAAUAAUUUUCAUUCUUAAAAAAAAUCAAUUUAUUUUUUUAAUCAUACAUAAUUUUAAUAAAAGAUUUUAUUUAAAGAAUUAUCUUAUAUUGGAACAUUAUUUAGGUACACAAUUAAUCUUAAAAAGCAAAUGUUUUGUUUAUUUCAGUAUGAAAGAAAGGGUGCAAGAGAAAAGAAAAAGGUGUAAUUUGACUAAGGCAUGGCCUUAUCUUCUCCUUCCUUCUCUUCAAUUCUGAACACCACAUCUUCACUACCCCAUUUCCAUGCUCCAAAACUUUCUUCUUCUUCUCACUUCCCAAUUACACCUUCCACUACCCAUCUUCCUCUCUCCCACAAAUGGAGAGCAAAGGUUUCAUUUUUCCCUUCUUUCUUGAAGAAACGGAAAGAUGCCAAGAUCAUCAAGGAAGAACUCCUUCAGGCCAUUGAACCGCUUGAUCGAGGGGCUGAUGCCACUCUCCAAGACCAGCAAACAGUUGAUCAGGUUAAUUGCACGUCUUUCAUGUCACUCUUUCUUCAUUUCUUAAAUUAAGUCUUGUCCACAACAAUAAAAGCUAAUUUACUCUACUUUUUUUUGUUUUGUUUAACUACUUAGUGUUGCUUAUUUUGUUCAUGAAACUCUGCAUUAGUUUACUCUGUGAAAUUCUAAUUCUGAUAUAUAAUGGUGUGGGUUUUUUUGAUUAGUUUUCUCUCAAUAGAAUUGCAUUUUUAUUCUUGAUUCGUGCAAUUUUUGUCUAAAUAGAUUGCUAGCGAACUUGAGAAAGUUAGUCCAAUAAAGGAGCCCCUGAAGUCUAACCUACUGGAUGGAAAGUGGGAGCUUAUAUACACUACGUCGCAGUCAAUUUUGCAAACCAAGGUAAACAAAUUUUUCCAUGGCUUAAAUUCAUGUUUAUGGUUAUAUUCCUGUGAUGAAUCAUCUAAAUUGAGGAUAGUCAAGCAAAAUAAAACUACAUAAAAAAAACAAUGAACUAUUAUGGAAAAAAAAAAACUUAUCUGAGCUGUUCUUGUAGUUUAGUUUUUUAGAGUUGAAUUACUCCUCAACCAAACCGUUUUAAACUGAACCUCAGUUUAAUUGAGUCGAACCCACUUUUAUAUUUCAAUUCAGCUCUACAAUAAUUUAGUUCAAUUCAUGCAUUUGCCCACUCCUAUCUAUAUUAUAUACUAUGAUGCAUAUAAUGUUUGCAAGCAUAUUACAGGUUGUUUCCUUCUUUUCUGUGUUCACAUGUUAUUUUUGGAGGAAAGAAUCAUGGUUACAGAUGGCACUUUUGAAUUCUGUUCAUAAUGAGUUGUGAUAAAUUUACGUAUGCUAGGUUAAAUUUGAUAUUUGAGGAUGAAAAUCUAACAAGAGUAAUAAAUUAAGAAAAUAAAGUUUUACCCUAGAUAUGAUAUAAUCAACUCCUGUACUUUACAUGCAUUAAAUGAAGUUCAAAAACCUUACUCUUUGAUUUGGAGAGUUCAUAAUAAUAGUAUAUCAUAAAUGUAUUGUAUUCAUUGAAUAAAUAUACAUUUAGUUGUAGAAAAAAUAUACAACCACCUGAAAAUUAGAGAGAUUUUUUUUUUCAUUUUUUUUUUGGUUUUUGAAUUCCUCCCAGCAUGGAAUUGUCUAUUUAAUACUGUUCGGUAGUUAAAUUAUCUAUCUAAUUGUUUUCUCUUUUAUCAAAUAUGAUACAAACAUAUAAUAUUAAAAAGUAUAUACAUGAUUAAGAUUUGAGGUAGAAUAUUCAAGAAGCUGCCAUUAUAGCUCUAUGCCUUCAUUAACAAUGCUACAUCGAUCUCCCACUUUGUCUAUAGUUUAGAUCAUACAAUUGUCAAUACACGUGCAAAUAUUUUCAGAAAAGGAAAAUAUAAGACCAAUAUGUAUUACAUUUAUUCAGUCAUUUACUAGCCGUCUAACAUUAGUAUCAAAACUAGUUUCUCUAUGUUUGUUGAAUUUGUACUUAUACCGAAGGAAGUCCACAACACUGUUCUUAUGUGAUACUUGACCUAUAUUUUAACAAGCUUUCACUGAAUUCCAAGAUAUCCAUUUUACUUUUAUUGUUCCCUUUUAUUUUGCAAGAUUGGAUAAAUCUGUAAUAUAUUUAAAAAAAAAAAAAUUCUCCCCCUUGCCAGCUAACUUUUUCAUUAAUGUAAUGAUAGAGACCAAAGUUGUUGAGAUCAAUUACAAAUUAUCAAGCAAUCAAUGUGGAUACUCUAAGGGCCCAAAAUUUGGAAUCUUGGCCAUUCUUCAACCAGGUAAAACUUGUGUUAGGACAAGUUUUCACUCUUGAUCCAUUCUCACUUUGGCAAUUGCUUGUGUAAACAAAAACUCAGUAUUGUGUAGGUGACAGCGGAUUUAACACCUCUAAAUCCAAGGAAAGUGGCAGUAAAAUUUGAUACUUUCAAAAUUGGAGGCAUUGUAAGUAUUCAGUUCAGAGUCUCAAUAGUUAUCAUUGGAAUUAUAUUUUAGCUGACAUUAGAUUAAGAAGGAGGGAAUAAAGUUUUGCAAAUUCUGUAAAAGUUUAUCUGCAAAUUCCAUUAGUCACAGUGUUCUACCCCUUUAAUUUGGAACUGGUGAAUUGCCCAAAUGAAUGAGUAAUGUGUAUGUAUAUUUCUGCCCUGUUGAAUUAAUAUUUAGUCCAUCACAAUGUACAAAUGCAGAUACCUAUUAAAGCUCCCGGAAGAGCUCGUGGGGAACUGGAAAUAACAUAUUUGGAUGAAGAACUGCGGUUAGUUACCGGCUAUGUUACAUGCAGAGAAUGUUUUUGUUGGAUCCAUGCUUAUUCUUUUUGGAGAAAAAGAUGUUUUUAUCUCCAUUGUAAUUGUUUUCUUGACAGCUGCUAUAGAUACCAAAAACUCAUUGCAUACUGUCAUAAUAAUGUAACAGGGUAUCAAGAGGCGAUAAGGGAAACUUGUUCAUCUUGAAAAUGGUGGAUCCAUCUUACAGAGUUCCUGUAUAAUGGCAUUGUCAGCAUUGCAGUGCAACACUUGUGUUCAAACACUUUCUGUAGAAAGAGAUAAGAGCAAGUAGUAUGAGCACAAUCUUAAGCUCUAAAUGAGUUCUACUCUUUCAUCCCUUGAAAUUUGUAAUAUUGUACUAUAUGAGAAAAUGUAUGAUUCAAACGAAGUGGUUAACUACAUUUAUGGAUUUAAAACCUCCAAAAAAUGUUGAAGUAAAAAAUUUGGUCACCAAAAUAAAAAAUCAACCAUUAAUAUUUCAAUGUACAUUUUUGUCUGCUAUAGAUCUUCUGACGAUAGAAGAUAUAAUUUCCUUCAAAGUAGCUAUUUUUUUUUUCCAUGCUAAGUUGAUAUCUAAUAGAUUGAUUUGAAAACAUAUAUGAAUUUAUCUAUAUACCAAACAUGGACUGUUUACUUAUUUAUUUAUCAAUGUUUUAACUGUAGCAGAUCCAAUAUUUAUUCAUUAUGAUAUAAUUUCUUAACAUUAUAAAUUUUGCAAGAGAAAAAAUUGUUUGUAUUCAAUAUUUAAUAAACAUAUCUUAAACAAGAUUUUUUUUUCUGAAGAGAUAAGUGAGAUAUGAUAAAUACAUGGUUUAAAAUGAAAUAAAAAGAAACAAAGAAAGAGGAAAGAAAGACACGUUUAAUAUUUAUAUUUAACAUUUAUAUUUAACAUUUAAUAAUCACUAUAUUAAAAUUUGCUAGUAUUAUUUUUGAAUAUUCCAUUCCUUUCCUAUGAUACAUAUAAAAGGAAAUUCAGAAAGAAUGAUAACAUAUAUUUUGGAAAGAAAGUUGAAAAAAAUUAAAAUUAUAAGUACACUCUGCAUAAUUGCAUCAUAUACAAUCGAAAUUAUUGUGUAUCAUAUAUAUUAGAAUUAUUAAGUAUUUUUUUUUAUAAAUAUACACAUAUUCUUAUUCUUAGACGUAUUAGUGUAUUUAUUAUUAUACCCUCUUCGCUCCGCACUGAAUUUGUUUGAACGGUCAACAAAAUUUGAAAUACCUCGAAAAAAGAAGCGGGAUAAUUUCUAUUCCACCCUCCUCUUCUCCAAUUUUUUAGUUUAUAAAGGCAAAACAACAUUUUAUGUUUCAAUACAUUUUCGAAAUCUUUCUCUCUCUCCCCUUAGAGAAGUUUGGGAUAGCCCAAAGGGUGACUAUGCCCCCGAGAUUGGAUCUUCAUUCUCUUUGAAUUUCUCGCUCCGUAAGCUGUUUCUUAGACUGUUUUUUUUUGUUUCAGUCUUGUUGAACUAUAAAAAAGUUGUUAAUUUUGAGUUUGAUGUAUUACUAGUUCUUUACAUACGCAUUGAAGGUGUUCUUUCAAUCAAUUUCUAAGAUCUGGUAUUAGUUUUCUGUCCAUAAUUAUGAUAUAAUGUUUAAAUCUCGUCUAGGUUGUCUCUAUUAUGAUGUGCGUUGCUUCAGAAAUAGUAUUUAGAAUCCGUGCACAUAGUUCUGAGAUGUAAAUUAUUGAACUGCAUAGUGGAAUAGAGAUUAAAAUAAUUAUGAUUCUUUAAUUUUUCAACUUUAUUCUUUGUCCAUGUUGCUGUUUUGGAAAAAUAUUUUUUAAUCUGUCUAUGGGCAAUUAUUUGUGUUUUUUUUUUCUCAGCUAUGGAUUCUCUCCCUGAUGCCAUUCUUCAAUGCAUCUUGUCACGUAUUUGUAAUGCUCGCGAUGUGGCUUGUUGUAAUUGUGUUUCUAAGCGAUGGAAGGACUCGAUGCUUUACAUCAGAACUCUGUACUUCCCUCGCAACUCGCUUGAUGACACUUCGGCUGGUGAGAGUCCGGAUGAGGUUGUGAAAAGAAUGGUAUCAACAGUUGUGCGGCUAGAACAUCUAAUUGUAUACAGCCCCUUCUCAUCUUCUGGCCUUGCUUCAUGGCUAUCACUAGUUGGUCUAUCUCUUUCACAGCUUGAGCUUCGAUUGGACAACCUUGCUGACGAACAAUCCUACCAUGAAGGCCCUUCAAAAUUGGAUUGCAUUGGUGCAGCAAGGAAUUUGAAAUGUCUCAAACUCUGGGGUGUCUUAAUGUCACGUUCCCCAGAAUGGGAUGUUUUUGAAAAUCUUAGGACACUGGAAAUGAUUGGUGUAAGAUUGGAGGAACCUGCAUUGGUUGCGGUGCUUCAGUCAUGCCCAUAUCUGAGAAGGUUUGUCCUGCUUGGCUGUGAAGGGGUUAGAUCAAUCUCAAUUGACCUUCCCUAUUUGGAGCAGUGUAAGCUGGAUUUCUAUGGUUUGGGAAACUGUUCACUGACACUAACCUCAUCCAAAAUUGUAUCUCUUGAGGUACAAGGUUGUAGUUGGAUUAGGGUUCCUGAAUCCCAGCAUUUGAGGAAUCUUUCAAUAUCCAAUAGUGCAGGUAAUUCAAUUUUAAAGUCAUUCUUAUACUUUCAUUUUCUUGGCCUUUUUUUUUUGUUCCAAAGUAAACUACAAUGUAAUUGUCUUUUUUGUUUAGUAAGCCUAAUAUUCUCUCUUUUCAUUCUGAUUGAUUCCAGGGAGAGUUUACAUGGUUGAGUUUGGAAACCUUCCAGCUUUGGAGUUCCUGUCUAUGAGGGGGGUUCAGUGGUGCUGGGAUGCAAUAUGCAAAAUACUAAAAUUGGCAAGUGAGGUGAAGCAUCUUUUUAUGAAGGUGGAAUUCACUGGGAACUUCGAGGCUCUUCAACCCUUUCCCGAGGUUGAUUUUGUUGAUUUUUUCAACAGCCAUCCCCACCUGCGCAAAUUUGACAUCCAUGGAGCCAUGUUUGCAGCACUUUGUCAGAAAAACAGUCUGAAACAUGUAAAUUUAUAAUGACAUUUUUUAUAUUAUUCAUCUGACAAAGGUUGUUAUAUGUAAUCUUAUCUAAUGAAGAUGAUUCGUCUGCAGGUGGAUCCGGGAUUUUUAAUUCCAUGUUUGGAGGAGGUUGUGAUCACAGUGAGAUCACCACUAAAUGCUGAACAAAAAAUGAAUACUCUUGAAUCCAUGUUGAAAUACGGCAAAAAUUUAAGGACCAUGGUUAUCAAGAUUCUUCAGAUGAAGAGCACUCAUAACAGUGCUGACGAUUUUUUUGAUGAGAUUUGCCGGUUUAGAUACAUGAACCACAGGAUAGUUCGAAUAGAAUAAAGAUUAGAAGAUCUUUGCAUUUUUAAUGCAGGAGAUUGCGUGCUGGUUUCCAAUUUCAAUUUUGAGGAGCUCAUGAUUUUGAUUGUUUUUUGAAAAUUGAUAACCUCCCAUUUUGGGGAGUGAAUGGUUUACCAUUUUACCAGUUUGGGUACAAGAUAAUAAUGCCGCUACCAUAUUUUCCUCUAAGAUAAGCUAAAUUUAAAUUUGAUGCAAUUCAUUUGAUGUUAUGGCUAUGGUUUGAUUGGUAUGAUACUGCACCAUUACAACCUUAAUAAUGUUAUGUUAUAUAAUUAACUUCAGCAAAUUAUAUAAAUGUUUCCAUAGUCUGAAGCUAGUACAAAUCGAGUUCAGAUUUUUGCUGCACUGUUUCUUUGUUGAAUUUUCAAAAUAAUUGUUGUUGGUAUAUUAUUUUUUUUAAUAUAUUUUAAAAUAUUAAAAUCAGUGUUGAUCAAUAUAUUUGAAGCCUCGAGGAAUCAUAUAAAAAAUUCAGUACAAAAAUCUAAAUUCUUACAAAUCUAACAGUUAAGAGAAAAGGGCGAGGAAUAUACUGUUUGUGCAUCGAUAGAUUUAAGAGCCAACCCUUGACCAAUGAUCAAUUCUUUAUAAAGUUGACUACUCUCAACCAAUGCUUCAUAGGGCAACUUCUUUCUACAGUAUGUUAAAUUUUAUAUUUCAAAUUAUAUAAUUCAAAAUGUAUUUUUUUAAUUUCUAUUCGAAAAUAUGUGAUACAAUUUUUUCGAAUUUCACAAAGUACAAUCCGAAAAAAAAAAGUAUGUCGUAUUAUACAAAAAAUUUUAUAUUCUAAAUUGGGAUUCUAUAUUCUAAAAUACAAAAAUUUGUAGCAGUGCAGGUUAUUUCAAAUAAUGGAGGUGAAGCAAGAAAUGACCCAAAUUAAGUUUUAUUGGACCAACCCACAAAUCAGCCCAAAUCAGCCCAUGACCUAGUUUUAAUGUUUUUUUUUUUUUUACUUCUUUUCUAAAAUACACCACUUCAAUUUUUCCUAAUUGUUUUUUAAAGAAAAAUUAUAUUCUCACAUAUAAAUUUUUUACAUUUAUUUUGUAUUAUUUUUAUUACUUUUUACUUUUUUUUAAAAUACAAAAAAGUUAUUGUUUUAUAAUAAUUUUAUCUUUAUAUUCUCCAUCGAAUAAAUAUAAAAAUUGUGUAUUAUUAUUAUUAUUAUUAUUUUUCAACUAUGUUUCAAACUUUUUGUCUUGGUCCAACCAAUAAUGUAUGGAUAGAAAAAAAAAAUCUGUUUUGGGCAUAGUCGAACAUAGCAGUUAAUUUUUCCCAAAGAAAGUAAUUAAUAAAUCAUAGUAUUAUUUUAUAUAAAAUUUUGCAACAACAAAAGUAAAGUGAAAAUAAUCCUUCCAUGUUUUAAUUUUCUAACUAGCCUAUUUUUGCUAACUUGAAAUUAACUUUUACUCAGUUUCUAAAAGUUCUCGUCUCUAACAUUUUCAUAAACACGCACAAAUUGUAAACCAAUCAUUUUAAUUUUAAGUUCAGAACCAAAUGUUUACUUCAAUUAAGAAGUUCUCAUCAAUCAGUAGUGCUUUCCACAUUUGAAGUUCACAAAUUAAAUGUGAUUUUACAAGUUAAUUAAAAGGAAGAUGAUAUUUUAACAUCAUUUUUUGAUACCAUUUUGACACUGCACACGUGGUUGGACGAUUUCAAAUUAAAAAAACAAAUUUUAGUUUUUCUUUUUCAAAUAUACCCCUGUCUCAACUUUUUUAAUUUGAAAUCGUCCAAUCACAUUUUAACACGUGUGCAGUGUCAAAAUGGUGUCAAAAAAUGGUGUUAAAAUAUCAUUUUCCUAAUUCAAACUAGACAAAAGCAAAAUUUCUAUGGACAAGCUGCAACAAUUUCACUACUUGUGAAAGAAGCAAAGCUCAUGAAAAUGCCUUCUUUAAAAAGAAAAAGAAAAAAAAAAAAGAAGAAGCUUGGCAGCAUCUAAAUAAGCUUUUUCUUGUGGAAGUAUCUCUUCAAAUGCAACAACUGCAAAACUGAAACUAUGAUGCAGACACCUAAGGACAAAAAGCUAAACCACACCACUCUCGCAUUCGUUGAUUCACUCAGGUUCCUCAACUCUGCUUCCCUGAUUAUAUUUCACAAAACAGAACAAAUAUCAUACAUCACAAAAUCUCUACAACACAUUUUACUAUGUAAUUUAUUCAACUUACCUUCCCCUCAGAUGCAUCAAAUUCUCAUAGAUAGACUCCACCGAUCCUUCUAGCCUUUUCAACUCCAGUUCUACUCCCUACCCAUCAAUGUCAAAUCAAAUGUAUACCAAGAAUUCUCUAUACUGAGAAAAUAUACUUUAAACCUAAUUCAAUAUUAGAUAACUUUAAAUUUCGACUUUAACUUUACGUUAUAAUUAAAUUUUAGGUCUAAUUCAACUCCACAAAAGUUUGUAGGAUUUGUAAAGUGAAGUUUGUACCUACUUAUUUACGAAUUGAUUUUAUCUCUACUGACGAUGUGUAACUUUCAACAUGAAUUCUAACAAAAAUCAUAUUGAUUAGUUUUAGAUGAAAUGGUUUACCUGAAUCUUCUCUCUUUUAGCAACAGAAUCCCAAUCCUUAGCUUCAAUUCCAGUUUUCCAAUCAAGGUCCAAAAUAGCGUCUCCUCCUCGAUCAUUACGAUCCACCCAGAAGCAUGCAAGGUACAGUCCACUCUCUCGAGCUGUAAAAGCCAAAUUACCCACCCGUGUGCUAUCUACGUGAUGAAGCUCGUUUCCAUAUGGUGAUGUCACCUGAACAAAACACAUUAUAUCACAAAUAUCCUUCAUCCAAACUCGUUAUAAUUCAUCCUUUCACAUACAAAAAACAUAGAAACAAUAUAUCUGCAUAAAAAUCUUUGACGUGUUCAUGAAUCUUUUUCUUAUUUGAAACGCAGUUAUUUAUUUAGCGUAGACAUUACAAGAACAUACGAUAAAUGAAACUAGCAACAGGGAUACGAUAUAAAAUCAUUCGUAUGCAUGCAUGCAUGGAUGCGUUCAGGUCAAAACAGUGGAAACAACAUGGAGAGGGCAGAAGAGAAUUGAAUUUGAAGGGCGACCCAGAACGUUACCUUGGAGGAAAUGGUGGUGUUGGGGGUACCACGGACGAGAGCGUAAUGGACCAAAACGACGACGUUGCUAUGGAUUUCUUCGGAAAUGCACUUGGUGCCGCCGGUUGGUAUCGUUAUCCAUAAUGCGCGAGAGGUGGAGAAGAAGAAGAAGAAGAAGACGAGUGGCAACAACAUUGACAUGAUAUUAUCUCUGUGCUAUGUAUUCUUCAUACACAAAAACAUCAAUUUUUUGUAAUUACAACGUGAAAUCAAUGUCAGCUUGUGAUGGAUCCAGUUUUGAUUUGAAGAGCAAAGUUUCUUCUGAUGUGACCAACAACGUAGUAACAUGUAACAUCUGUAACUGUCUCUCUUGCCUUGUCUCCUUUAGUUUCUUUUUUUAGCUAUUCUCUUAUCAUCCAUUAUUAUUCUUUCUUUGCUUCUUCCAUUACGUCUGUUACCUCUUAUUUCUCUUAGGUCUAAACUUCUUUUAUGUACUGUUUCAGUAUUUUUCAUUUAAACAGCUUUUAUAAAAAUAUAUAUGUAAUCGAAUGGUGACAAUAAGUUCCAAGUUAAUUGAGAUCUUAUUGUCAAUCACUCUUAAUUUUGUUUAUAAUAACAAAGGGCAAUUUGGGAAAAAACAUAAUAAAAUUCUAAAAUUUGGAAGGGAGAAAACUAGCUUGUAACUUCUUACUAUUGUCUGAUCUUAAAUAAGAGGAGUGAAAGUUUGAAAAUUAAAAUAUAUUAAAAUUUGGAAUAUAAACGAAUUCCAAUUUUAUAUCCAAAUUUAAAAAUUAUAAAUAUAUAUAUAUAUAUAUGUAUAUUUUUUUUUAAUACAUGACUGUAACUAAAGGUUACACACGUAUUCAAUUACUAAAAGUAUUUAUAUGAAUUUCAAACAAAAUUAAUGUAAUAGUUUGAGGUAACACAAUAUUAAUCACAUAAAAUGUUGUUUUGAGUUAAGGUAAAUGAUUUAUAUUAUAAUUACAUUAGAGAUUCAUUAGUUCAUCUUAGUUAUAUUCGAAAUCAUAGGAAUUGAAUUUCAAACAAUUUUUUUGUUGAAAUAUACUAACAUAAUAAAUUUAAGAUAUGGACUUUAAAUAAGACAUUAUGUUAUAAAUAAAUAAAUAAGUGUAUAAUAUCUAUGAGAUUUAUUAGAAAUUUAAAUACGAGUUUAAAUAUUAUAUUGAGUGGAUAUAAUAAUGUUAAGUGACAUAAAAAGAAGAUGAUAUAUAAUUUUAAGGAAAAUGAUAUUUUAACACUAUUUUUUGACACUGUACACGUGUCAAAAUGUGAUUGGACGAUUUCAAAUUAAAAAAGUUGAGAGAGGGAUAUAUUUGGAAGAGAAAAAUCAAAGUUUAUUUUUUUAAUUUGAAAUCGUCCAAUCACAUUUUAACACGUGUGUAGUGUCAAAAUAGUGUCAAAAAAAGGUGUUAAAAUAUCAUUUUCCUAAUUUUAAAUAGAAGGUAAUGUUAAUUUGUUAUGUGUUUUGACUCACUAUUUUGUAUGAAUCCUUCACAAAAACUCCAUUAUACUUAUCUAUAUAUAGUUAUGAAACUAAUUACUCUCCAUCUCUUAACAAAAAUUAGGAUUCAAUAAAAGGAUACAAGGACGAUUGAUGAGAUGAAAUGCAAACAUGUAAGAACAUGUUUUUUCAGAAAUACAGGGUUAUCAUGGGACAAUGUUAUUAGAUAUGUUUUAUUCUGUUUUUGACAUACAUGAGAAAUGAUUCACAUGUGCAGAAGCUUUGGAAAAUGGUGGGAAAGUCCAUAACCAGAAGCUGAGUCUACAAUGGCACUGUGCAAAGCAAUGGUCUCGAGGGUCAAUCCAGGGCCAAACCCUAGCAAAACGCCCCAUUCAAAUCCUUCACCAGUUGUGCCUUUUCCUUCCGUCACAGACAUCCUUCUCAUCUCAUCAAGCACAAACAACACACAUGCACUCGACAUGUUUCCAUACUCACUCAAAACCUUUCUAGAAGCUUUCAGUUUGUUAGGGUUCAACCUAACUUUCUCCUCUAUCUGGUUCAAGAUUGCAGGACCACCAGGGUGCACCACCCAGAACAACGAGUUCCAAUCACUCACCCCGAGUUCCUUAAAGCUUUCUUCCAACAUUUUCUCCACAUUGUCUCCGAUUAACAUAGGAACACUGUCCUUCAGAUGGAAUGUCACUCCCAUCUCGCGCAGGUGUCCCUCUAUGGCACCCUCCGAGUUCGGUAAUAUUGUCUGCGAUGCCGACACAAUGUGAAACAAGGGCCGUUCCAUGGAUGUUUCUGGGUCGGAUCCAACGAUGGCAGAUGAAGCACCGUCACCGAAGAGUGCCAAUCCCACCAACGAGUCCACGUCGGUUUCGGAGGGUCCACGAAAUCCGGCAAGCAUGAUCUCGGAACACACCACCAGAACACGUGCCCCAACGUUGUUCUCGGCUAGGUCUUUAGCUAGACGAAGUGCGGCGGCGCCAGCGAAGCAACCUUGGUGGUAUAACAUGAAUCUUUUGGUGGAUGGUUUGAGGCCCAAGAGCUUGAGAAGUUGGUAGUCAGCACCUGGCAUGUCCAUACCCGCGGAGGAGCAGAAGACGAGGUGAGUGAUGUGUGACUCGUCUCUUCCCCAUUCCUCGAUGGCUUUCGACGCCGCCUUCUCCCCAAGCUUCGGAAUUUCCUUGAUUAGUAUGUCUUGUCGUGCAUCCAAGGAUGCUGUGUAACUUGCUAACUUAGGGUUGUCAUUCAAGAUUUGUUCAGUGAGGUGUGUGUAUCGUGUCUUAACCAUGGACUUUUCACCUGUUUGCAUGUCCAACAGAUUUGAUUUCAUAUGGAAAGAGAUGAUAUGAAAAAGAUGGUGGUGGUGGAAAGUUGAGCUUACAUAUGCGCUUGAGCUUGGCCUUGAGUUGAGUCAUGUGAUCACUGUCGGUGAUUCGGAAGUAAAAAUCGGGGAAGUGAUCCUGGUGAAUGCAGUUGGGUGGAGUUGCGGUGGCAAUGGCUAGUAUGGCGGCGGUUCCACCAGCUCUUUCUUUUUCUCGUACUUCCUUCAAAUAUGCCAUUUUGUUGGAUUGAUCCAUCACCUAAAACCAAACACAAGAAACAAAGAUAUAGUUAUUUUGUAAGAUAUACGCACUCAGAUCAACUUAUAUAUAGGCCUACUUUCCUGUAUUCAUCUACCGGAACAUUUGACCAAUUACGAAAGUGGUGCACUUUGGGUAAACAAACCAUAAAGGCUGUAGUUAAUGGCAUAGUUCCCCUAGACUCAAGGCAAAUUACAUUAUUUUUUCUUGUCGACGGCUCCAAUUAAAGCCAUGAAAGACAAAUCAAAAUGGACAAUCAUAUUUUCCACAUCAUUUUUUGACAAUUUUUUUAUGUGUUAUCAUUUUAUUGAUCUAUUUAAAUUUAAAUUUAAAAAAUAUUUAAAAUAGACCAAUUAAAACUAUAUUCGUUGUAAAAAGUUAUUAAAAAAGUGUUGUUAAAAAAAAAUUUUCCAGUCAAAAUUAGAGUUUAUGGCAAUUUCUAUAAUUAAAAGCUUUUGCACAAUUAUUUAUCUCAUAUAUAUGAUCAACCAAAAGUCAGAAAUAGGAUUCCAUCUCUAAAUAGAUAACGUUUAGAGUCCUUAAUUAUUUCCACCGUUUUUGCUUGAAAAUUAGUUGUACCAAACCAACAUUAAGAUUUUGACAAACUGACACAUGAAGCUGCUGUGCUUUCAAAAAGAAGGAAAACAAUAGUAUACGAAAUAGCAUUGAUUAUUUCAGACCAUUUUUGCAUAAUCGGAUGAGCUUUUCAAUGCAUUGUUCUAGGGUAAGAAUAAAAAAUAAAUAAAAAAUCAAAUUCUUACUAAGAAUAAAAAUAAUAAUUUGACACAUAAAUUUUUAUAUUUAAUUAAUAUUAUCAUCUUUUACUUUUUAAUUCCUUUAAAAUAAUAUAUGUAACUCUUUAAUGAUUAUUUUAUUUUUAUAUUAUGUAUCAAAUAAAUAUAAAAAUACACUCUAUUAUUAUUCAAUUGAAAAAGGAUAAGAUACCAAAAUUUCCAAGCAAUGGUCACACCAUCCCUCUAUGAUUGAUACUUUUAUUCCUUUGCCCAGUAAUAGAAAAGGAAGGAAGAAACUUAACGGAUAGAUUCCCAGUCCUUUUCAUGUAACAUUUUCUUUUAUCACCAUGAAUUCUUUAAAAAGAUUACUUAAUUUUUUAAUUACUAAACUCAUGUGAAAAAUUCUGACCCUAAAAGUUAAAACUUUUAUAUGUUAGAAGAUAGCCAUGGUUUUAUAAGACAUUGCUCCACCCACUCUUUUCUUGCACUAAACACACUGAUACAGUUAGAUCUGCUUCCUCUAUCCAUCCAUGGAAGCUUUACUUUCCCAAUUCAGCUUCCUCUCAGAGCAGGCCCUUCAAGACAAGAACUUUGACCCUUCCACAAUUGAAGAUCUGAUGAAGCUGUUCGAGAUUGAAUCCUACAAGGCAUGGGCAGCUGCUGAACUGGAGCAAGACAGAGAGGUGGAGGAAGCAGAAGCUGGCAUGGAAGAAGCUGAGGAGUACCUUGACUCGGUCAUGGAGACUGCCAUGGAUGAGUUCAGACGCUUUGAAGAAGAGCUUGAGAGGAUGGCAAAAGAUGAAAUGGAAAACCUUGUUCAAACUGCUGAAAGAGCCAGAAAAAUGGGAAACUUGAUGGAAAAAGGUGCCUCUGUUGCUUCCAAGAAGUAUAUUGAGGCUGCUCUCAAUUCAGCCACUGCUUCCAUGAAAUCAGCUUGGAAAGGUCUCUCUUCUGGAAAGGUUCAUCCUUCUUAAUAUAUCUACAAUACUCAUUCUAUAUGUAUUCACUUCAGAUUAAACCUGUCAUCAAAUAUAUUUCAUACCCCUUUUACUCUUUAUUGUUAUUUCUAAUUUCUAGUAGUUAAAUUACAUUGCUGCUUUGGAAAAAUUGAAACUUUAUUAUAUCAGAAUUGUACCAAUUGAGAUGCUGAGGAAUAUUAGCAGAAAUCAUAUUUGCAGUUGUUUCAAGGCCAAAGGCCAAAUCCAUGGUUUGAGUUGAGUGCAUCUAUCUGUAUAUGCAACUAACAACACAAGGCUUACGAUUCUAACAGCUUAAUUAAUUUAGAGUGGCUAUAUUGCUUGUCUGAUUCAUUUUCUGGGCUAAUUUAGAGGAAACAUAUUUUCUUCUGGAGUUUUCCUGCACAUUAAAUUGCUGUUUUCCCCUGAAUCUUCCAGAUUUAUAUGGUUUCUUACGCAUGAAGAUGAAUCUUGUUUGUUUUCAGAUUUUACAAAUGUGUAGUUGGAUAGCCAUACUACUACUUGGAUUGAUUAAUACAAUACAUAAUCAAUGCAAAUUAUUACAUUUAGUACCAUUUUCAAUAGUUCAACCCAUCUUUUUCAAUGAAAUCUUGAAUUCAAACAACUUCAUUUAGUGUGUACAUAGAUAUUAAACUCUGUCAUUUGGCUAAAGAACUGAGUAGUAAGAAGCUGUUUACCACAUCUUUUUGGGAUCUUCACCUUGGAUUGGCACAAUGAAGAAAAUGGGUUAUCCAGAUGAUGAUUAAUAUUUUAUUAUACAGUGUAUGUUUCUGAGUUCUGACAAUGAAGAUUGGAGUUACUCUGCACAUACCCAGCUUUCUUAUGCAGUACAUGCAUGCACCUGAUCCUGGAUAUUCAUGCCCA